rnacentral:rRNA from 1 species
AGUGAGGAAUAUUGGUCAAUGGGCGCAAGCCUGAACCAGCCAUGCCGCGUGCAGGAUGACGGUCCUAUGGAUUGUAAACUGCUUUUGUACAGGAAGAAACACUCCCUCGUGAGGGAGCUUGACGGUACUGUAAGAAUAAGGAUCGGCUAACUCCGUGCCAGCAGCCGCGGUAAUACGGAGGAUCCAAGCGUUAUCCGGAAUCAUUGGGUUUAAAGGGUCCGUAGGCGGUUUUAUAAGUCAGUGGUGAAAUCUGGUCGCUCAACGAUCAAACGGCCAUUGAUACUGUAGAACUUGAAUUACUUGGAAGUAACUAGAAUAUGUAGUGUAGCGGUGAAAUGCUUAGAGAUUACAUGGAAUACCAAUUGCGAAGGCAGGUUACUACGAGUUAAUUGACGCUGAUGGACGAAAGCGUGGGGAGCGAA